GAAAGUGAAUGUCUUUUGUCGACAGGAAUGCAAGCCAUUUGACAACAGUAAUGGCGUAUGAGAAGGCGCCACAACGACCAUUAGGACAGCAAAUCUAUAAACAACGGAUAAGUGUUCUCAAAUAAUUAGAUAUCAGAGAGAUUUUCUUUUCCUGAUAUUAUUACAUUCAUGGUAGAAAUAAAUGGAAACUGCAGUGAUUUCAAACAUGAGUUUGGUGAUGACAAGGAUUACACCGCGCAUGCUUCGGCCUUCUUUGAUGAAGAGAUAUAUGAACUCCCUCAUGAAUCAUCAAAGACUGUACCCACCAAGCAACCAGAUAUCAUCCAUACAGCAGUCAGACAGCAUCUAAGCACCAUACAAAGCAACCAGACUGUAUCCAGGCACAACACCAAGCAAGCAGACAACAUCCAGGCACAUCACCAAGCAACCAGAGCAUCCAAGCACCACACCAAGCAACCUGACAGCAUUCUAGCAGCCAGACAACAUCCAAGCACCACAUAUAUAGCAACCAGACAUCAUCCAGGCACCACACCUAGCAACCAGACAUCAUCCAGGCACCACAUUAAGGAACCAAACAUCAUCCAGGCACCACACCAAGCAACCGGACAUCAUCCAGGCACCACACCAAGCAACCAGACAUCAUCCAGGCACCACACCAAGCAACCAAACAUCAUCCAGGCACCACACCAAGCAACCGGACAUCAUCCAGGCACCACACCAAGCAACCAGACAUCAUCCAGGCACCACACCAAGCAAACAGACAGCAUCCAGGCACCAUACCAAGCAACCGGGUAUCAUCCAGGCACCACACCAAGCAACCGGACAUAAUCCAGGCACCCUACCAAGCAUCCAGACAGCAUCCAAGCAACCGGACAUCAUCCAGACACCACACUAAGCAACCAGACACCACACUAAGCAACCAGACAGCAUCCAGGUACCAUACCAAGCAACCAGACAGCAUCCAGGCACCAUACCAAGCAACCGGACAUCAUCCAGGCACCACACCAAGCAACCGGACAUCAUGCAGGCACCCUACCAAGCAUCCAGACAGCAUCCAAGCAACCGGACAUCAUCCAGCUAGGCACCACACUAAGCAACCAGACAGCAUCCAGGUACCACACCAAGCAACUAAACAGCAUCCAGAUGCCACACCAAGCAACCAGACAUCAUCCAGGCACCACACCAAGUAACUAGGCAGCAUCGAGGCAUCACACCUAGCAACCAGUGUCAUAAUAUAAUCGCUUAUGCUCCAUUCGAGGCCCCGAGAGAUAAAUACAGAUUUGACAUGAAGGACCAACUUGACUGAACCAUAGAAUGUUGAAACAAUGGCAAUACCACAUGCUAAGGGAGAAACAAAACUCAUUUGCAUACCGACCAGGAUGUGCAUAUCACUGUUUUGUGAAAGAGAGGACACUUUGGAACAUUGGAACCUCUGUCUGGAAAAUGAGUGGAUGUGGGGUAAAUGAACAUUCUCAGUUUAUUGCAUCCAUACAAGUGUACUUAUACACAUACAUACACCCACACACAAAAAAAAUGUUAAUCAAAUAAUGUAUUAUCUAAUAAUAAUUAUUAUCCAAUGUAUUAUCUAACAGUGCGUAUUAGCACCGAAUUCGGAGAGGAUAUUUUUGGACAGAUUCGGCACCCUAUUUGGGUUUUUUUAUUAAUAGAAGAUCAACUUAUUGGUAGCUUUUAGAGUUUUCAGUUUUUGAAUAUUUAAUUUCAAUAAUCAAUUCUGAUUGGUAGAACAAUGCCUAUGCCUAAUGAUCACUAAUGAUAAAGAUCUGAGGGCUCGAAAUUGGGAAAAAAAAUUAGACUAAUUAUGGCCCUAAAAUUCCAGAUAUGGUCACUUCUGAGAAGUAAAUGUGUAUUUCAAUAAUGGAAAAAGUUCUCUUGCAGGUUGUUCUAACAGUGUUCUAACAGAUUUGAGAUUGCAAUUCAAUUAUUUCUUCUGAUGCACAGUAAGAAUUUUGUUUUCAAAGUAUACUCUGACUGUAAAAAGAAACCAUAAUAAGAAUACAAUGCUUAAUAUAGGUUUUGCACUUGGUUAGAUUUGAGUAGUUGAAGAUUCUAGGUGGUGCAAUUAAGGCUGCUAGUUCGUAUCUGCUUCAGAUUAUCAAAAAUAGUUUUGUUAAGAAUUAUGUAUAUCAUUUGAAAAUUGAUUUUUCUUAUGUAUUUCCCAAAAUCGUCCAGGCAAAAUAACGAAUUUUAAAAAUAAGUAAAUGUAUCAUCAGAGGAAUUCAUCGGUAAAUCGGUCUACCAUAUUCUACCUAAUUUCUUAAGUGCACUUGAAAAAUCUGAACUACAAGCACUCUGCAAAUAACAUGUUUGUAAAUUACGUUAUUGGCCUAAAGUUUUUAUUUAUUUUGCCUGGACGAUUGAUUAUUAAAUGAUCAUAUGACACCUCCUUGUUGUAACUUGUAUUUAUUACCCCUCCACCUCUCUCUCCCAUCUAUCCCUCUCUCUCUCUCCUCUCCCUUCCCUCUCUGUCUUCCCCUCAUCCCCCCCCCCCCCUACCAUCUACAGGGGCUUUCACACUUGGUUGCGCGAGCUUUUGAUUCCACUAUAUUUUGCAGACAAUAGUAUUUCUCGCAACUAAUUGUGAAAGCCCUUUAUACAUCCGGUGAACUUCAUGAAAUGUAUGUUCUCAUUUUAACAAUUACUUCAGCAAAAAAUGUAAUAAACUUCCAAUUAUUGAUUUAAAACCUUUUGUGACAGAUGCAAGAAUGCAAGAAAAAUUUGAAAACUUAACGUUAUCCAAAGAAAAUUACUUCUCUUUAGCAUUGUCAAUUCUUGUCUUGUAACUGGUAUUUUUUUUCACACCAUUUUAGUGAAUUAAUAAUUAUCAAAAAUACAAAUCAUAUACUUGAUUAAAAAAUAGAAUACAAAUCAAAUGUGUGACAAAGUAUGCAGCACAUUGUCAGAAAAUGAUCUUCAAACGAAUCUAAAAUUUAUAUUUUGUGAAAUUCACCUUUGUAAACAUACCUGUAAUGUUGCAAAAUGUAUUGUUGUUGGCAAUCAAGAAAUUUUAAUACUUCACACUUAAGGAACAUGGAAAAAGAAUGGGUCGAUUGAUCAAGCAUUCAUUUGAGUGGAUAUUGCAAUAAUUCAUAACAAAUAAUUAAUUCCACAUGGUUGCUAUGGUAGAAAAACUCAUUUCAUUGAAAAGCAGGAAAAAAAUCUGCCAUCAAUAUCAAUCCAUUUUGCAACAUUCACCUCCUCACCCAAAAAUAAUCUGGAAUCUGCAAGUCAAAAUGUGGCAUUGUCCUUGAAAGUACUCUAUAAGCUGAAAUUAACGCAGUACUUAUAUUUCACUAAUUUUGUGAGUGCACCAUUAAAUUGCCCCCCCCCCCUCGAAAAUAAAAAUGGGGGCUGAAUAAAUUUAAUCACUCGACCUCUGAUGAAAUAGAAACUACACCUAAAAAACAAAAAAAAAUCACAAUGAUGCACCUCGACUUUCUAAAUUUACUAUUUACACAAUGUACAGUACCCAUGAUAAAACUAAGAACAAUGUCACAUUUGGCUUGCAAAUAAGGGUUCCUUGACAUUUGCUCCUGAGACGAUUGCUCUUGAGAAAGAUCCUUAAUGAAGCCAAACAUAACCCUGACCUCUAACCCAAUGCUAAUCCUACACCCAUGUCAUAACACUAACCCUAUAAGGAAAGAGCAAUUGACCCAGAAGC